AUUGAACGCUGGCGGCAGGCUUAACACAUGCAAGUCGAGCGGGGUGAUGGUGCUUGCACUAUCACUUAGCGGCGGACGGGUGAGUAAUGCUUAGGAAUCUGCCUAUUAGUGGGGGACAACAUCUCGAAAGGGAUGCUAAUACCGCAUACGUCCUACGGGAGAAAGCAGGGGAUCACUUGUGACCUUGCGCUAAUAGAUGAGCCUAAGUCGGAUUAGCUAGUUGGUGGGGUAAAGGCCUACCAAGGCGACGAUCUGUAGCGGGUCUGAGAGGAUGAGCCGCCACACUUGGACUGAGGCACGGCCCAGACUCCAACGGGAGGCAGCAGUGGGGAAUAUUGGGCAAUGGGGGUGACCCUGGUCCAGUCAUGGCGCGUGUGUGAAGAAGGACUUAUGGUUGUAAAGCACUUUAAGCGAGGAGGAGGCUCUUUUGGUUAAUACCCAAGAUGAGUGGACGUUACUCGCAGAAUAAGCACCGGCUAACUCUGUGCCAGCAGCCGCCGCGG
rnacentral:rRNA from 1 species